GCGCACGGGUGAGUAACGCGUGGGCAAUCUACCUUCGAAUUGGGGAUAACGUUGCGAAAGCGACGCUAAUACCGAAUAAUAUCCAUUUAUCCUCGGAUUUUUGGAUCAAGGGUGGCCUCUUCUUGAAAGCUACUGUUUGAAGAUGAGCCCGCGUACCAUUAGCUUGUUGGUGGGGUAACGGCCUACCAAGGCGACGAUGGUUAGCUGGUCUGAGAGGAUGAUCAGCCACACUGGAACUGACACACGGUCCAGACUCCUACGGGAGGCAGCAGUGAGGAAUUUUGCGCAAUGGGGGAAACCCUGACGCAGCAACGCCGCGUGAGUGAUGAAGGCUUUCGGGUCGUAAAGCUCUGUCAAGUGGGAAGAACCUAUAUAAUGCCAAUACCAUUAUAUACUGACGGUACCACUGAAGGAAGCACCGGCUAACUCCGUGCCAGCAGCCGCGGUAAUACGGGGGGUGCAAGCGUUAUUCGGAAUCAUUGGGCGUAAAGAGCACGUAGGCGGCCUGGUUAGUCAGAUGUGAAAGCCCGGGGCUUAACCCCGGAAGUGCAUUUGAAACUUAGGGACUUGAGUAUGGGAGAGGGAAGUGGAAUUCCUGGUGUAGCGGUGAAAUGCGUAGAUAUCAGGAGGAACACCAGUGGCGAAGGCGACUUCCUGGACCAAUACUGACGCUGAGGCGCGAAGGCGUGGGGAGCAAACAGGAUUAGAUACCCUGGUAGUCCACGCAGUAAACGUUG
rnacentral:rRNA from 1 species